AGUGAACGCUGGCGGCGUGCCUAAUACAUGCAAGUCGAACGAAGUGGCGCGCGGGUGAGUGAUAUAUAGUGGUUAUGCCCUACACAGAGGGAGAACAGUUGGGAAAGGCUGCUAAUACCUCAUAGUGGAGUAUGAGAGUAUAUCGUAUCAGCUAGUUGGUAAGGUAAUGGCUUACCAAGGCUAUGACGCGUAACUGGUCUGAGAGGAUGAUCAGGCACUCUGGAAGUGAGACACAGUCCAGACUCCUACGGGAUGGAGCAGUAAGGAAUAGUGCGCAAUGGGGGGAACCCUGACGCAGCAACGACGCGUGGAGGAUGACACUUUUCGGAGCGUAAAGUCCGUUUAUCAGGAAAGCGGUACCUGAUGAAUAAGCACCGGCUAACUCCGUGCCAGCAGCCGCGGUAAUUC
rnacentral:rRNA from 1 species